rnacentral:rRNA from 1 species
AAGGUAGCGUAAUCAAUAGCCUAUUAAUUGUUGGCCUGUAUGAACGGUACGACRCUGGUGGCGCUGUCUCAACUGCAUUAGUUUGAAUUUAACUUCUGGGUGAAAAGGCCCAGAUAGCUUUGAAAGACGAUUAGACCCUGUCGAACUUUAGGUAGAUUAGUUGUCAAUUACCAAGAGUAUUGUUUGUCUACUGUUAAACCUUUGGUUGGGGUAACCGGGGGCUAAAAAAAACGCCCCCCUCCAUUGAAAGUUAGCACCCGUUUUUGAUAAAGGUAAAAGAGACUUUACCUUCAGGGCAAUUGGCCUUCAGGAAAGUAAUUAUUUUAUUGAUUGAAAAAGUCUGACAAGACAUAGUUUACUUAUAAAAUGAACCUAAAGAACUGAGUAACAGUUA